CAGAUCUUUUAGGGGAUGUCUAUAAGCAAAUAUUGAUUUUGAUAACUGUAUCUUCCUACGUUGUGCAACUGAGAUCCUAAAAGAAACUAUUUAGACAGACAACAAUGUACAGUUAUUAGAUAAUCCACAAACAAAGUUCACAAGAAAAGACUAGGUUAUUUAGGGUUAUGGUGGAAGCCAAAGAGAUUGGAACUCAAAUUUUUUAGCAGUUCAGUAUGUAUGAGCAAAUAGAGACAGAACAGCAUGGUGGCUGAAAAGCAGGACCUAGAGUCAUGAACAACUGCAUUCAAUUCUUGCCUCUGGCACUGUCUGACCUAAUAUUCUCUAAUCCUCCCCACAAUGAAAGCCACUGUUGCCAAGCAAUUCUCAUGUUGAUGGAAGCAGUUUCCUAUGCCAAUGAAAUCACAAAUGACCAAAAAAGAACAAAAAGCAGAUUGAUCCUCACAACAACCCUGGCAGGAUGACCCCUAUUUUAAAGAUGAGGAUAUUGAAGAUGAGAGAAGGAUUUUCCAACUCUUGCCAAUAUUUGUUGAAUCCAGACGGACAAAGAACUCCCAGGCUACUCAAAAAAUUGUGCCACAUACUAUUAGAGGCAAUUCUCAAACAGGAGUUCUAAAAAUGUUUUGAACAAAGUCAACAUUGUUCAGAAUAAAGACAAAACAUCAAUUGAAGCAUAAGCUGUAGAGAUGAAUUUCUAUGGGGUAAAAUUUGCAUUCACUGUGUUUUGGGGGAGUGAGAAGAAAUUAUUAGCUUUUUCAAAAGAAGAAAGCUAAAUUAUGUUAAAAAGUGGACUCAUACUAAUAAUAAUGAAAUGGAUCUUGAUUGAUGGCACAUGUUAAACCCAGCAGAACUGUGCGUCAUAUAUGAGAGGGGGGUGGGGAAGGAAGGAAUAUGAGUCUUGUAAC